UGAGGAAUUUUGCGCAAUAGGGGAAACCCUGACGCAGCAACGCCGCGUGAGUGAAGAAGGCCCUCGGGUCGUAAAGCUCUGUCAAGUGGGAAAAAAGCUUGUUGGUGAAUAGCCAGCAAGACUGAUGGUACCAUUGAAGGAAGCACCGGCUAACUCCGUGCCAGCAGCCGCGGUAAUACGGAGGGUGCAAGCGUUGUUCGGAAUUACUGGGCGUAAAGGGCGUGUAGGCGGUGUGGUAAGUCAGAUGUGAAAGCCCUGGGCUUAACCCAGGAAGUGCAUUUGAAACUGCCAUGCUUGAGUAUGGGAGAGGAGAGUGGAAUUCCCAGUGUAGAGGUGAAAUUCGUAGAUAUUGGGAGGAACACCCGUGGCGAAGGCGACUCUCUGGACCAAUACUGACGCU
rnacentral:rRNA from 1 species